AGUGAACGCUGGCGGUAGGCCUAACACAUGCAAGUCGAACGGCAGCACAGUAAGAGCUUGCUCUUACGGGUGGCGAGUGGCGGACGGGUGAGGAAUACAUCGGAAUCUACUUUUUCGUGGGGGAUAACGUAGGGAAACUUACGCUAAUACCGCAUACGACCUACGGGUGAAAGCAGGGGAUCUUCGGACCUUGCGCGAUUGAAUGAGCCGAUGUCGGAUUAGCUAGUUGGCGGGGUAAAGGCCCACCAAGGCGACGAUCCGUAGCUGGUCUGAGAAGAUCGUGAGGGGGAGGGGAAGGGAGAGAGGGGGGAGGGGGGGAGGGGAGGCAGCGGUGGGGAAUAGGGGACAAGGGGCGGAAGGGGGAGCCAGCGAGAGCGCGUGGGGGAAGAAGGCGGGGGGGUUGUAAAGCCCGUUUGUGGGGAAAGAAAAGCAGCAGGUUAAGACCCCGCUGUUCUGACGGUACCCAAAGAAUAAGCACCGGCUAACUUCGUG
rnacentral:rRNA from 1 species